rnacentral:rRNA from 1 species
UACGUAGGUGACAAGCGUUAUCCGGAAUUAUUGGGCGUAAAGGGUGCGCAGUCGGCACAUUAAGUUUGUGGUGAAAGUGCGGGGCUCAACUCCGUAUUGCCAUGAGAACUGGUUGGCUAGAGUGCAGAAGAAGGUAGUGGAAUUCCCUGUGGAACGGUAAAAUGCGUAAAAUAUGGAGGAACACCAGUGGCGAAGGCGGCUACCUGGUCUGUAACUGACGAUGAAGCACGAAAGCGUGGGGAGCAAAUAGGAUUAGAUACCCUAGUAGUCCUCGCUGUAAACGAUGAAUACUAAGUGUUGGGGAAACUCAGUGCUGCAGCUAACGCAAUAAGUAUUCCGCCUGGGGAGUAUGCACGCAAGUGUGAAACUCAAAGGAAUUGACGGUUGCCCGCACAAGCGGCGGACUAUGUGGUGUAAUUCGAUGCAACGCGAAGAACCUUGACAGGUCUUGACAUACCGCUAACAGCUCUAGAGAUAGAGCCAUAGUUAUAUCGGAUACAGGCGGUGCAUGGUUGUCGUCAGCUCGUGUCGUGAGAUGUUGGGUUAAGUCUCGCAACGAGCGCAACCCUGGUCUCUAGUUUCCAUCAUUAAGUCGGGGACUCUAGAGAAACUGCCGGUGCCAAACCGGAGGAAGGUGGGGAGGACGUCAAAUCAUCAUGCCCCUUAUGACACUGGGCAACACACGUAAUACAAUGGCGUACCAGAGGGAAGCGAAAUAGUGAUAGAAGCAAAACUCCCAAGGUACGUUUCAGUUCGGAUUGAAGUCUGCAACUCGACUUCAUGAAGUGGGAAUCGUUAGUAAUCGCGGAUCAGCAUACCGCGGUGAAUACGUUCUCGGGCCU